rnacentral:rRNA from 1 species
AUUGAACUCUGGCGUCAGGCCUAACACAUGCAAGUCGAACGAGUGGCGGACGGGUGAGUAAUGUCUGGGAAACUGCCUGAUGGAUGGGGAUAACUCCUGGAAACGGUAGCUAAUACCGCAUACCAUCAGAUGUGCCCAUAUGGGAUUAGCUUGUUGGUUGGGUAACGGCUCACCAAGGCGACGAUCCCUAGCUGGUCUGAGAGGAUGACCAGCCACACUGGAACUGAGACACGGUCCAGACUCUUACGGGAUGCAGCAGUGGGGAAUAUUGCACAAUGGGCGCAAGCCUGAUGCAGCCAUGCCGCGUGUAUGAAGAAGGCCUGCGGGUUGUAAAGUACUUUCAGCGGGGAGGCGUGACCCGCAGAAGAAGCACAGGCUAACUCCGUGCCAGCAGACGCGGUAAUAG